GACGAACGCUGGCGGCGUGCCUAAUACAUGCAAGUCGAGCGAAGUUUUUCUGGUGCUUGCACUAGAAAAACUUAGCGGCGAACGGGUGAGUAACACGUAAAGAACCUGCCUCAUAGACUGGGACAACUAUUGGAAACGAUAGCUAAUACCGGAUAACAGUAUUUCUCGCAUGAGAGAUAUUUAAAAGUUGGUUAUGCUAACACUAUGAGAUGGCUUUGCGGUGCAAUAGCUAGUUGGUGGGGUAAAGGCCCACCAAGGCGACGAUGCAUAGCCGACCUGAGAGGGUGAUCGGCCACACUGGGACUGAGACACGGCCCAGACUCCUACGGGAGGCAGCAGUAGGGAAUCUUCCGCAAUGGGCGAAAGCCUGACGGAGCAACGCCGCGUGAGUGAAGAAGGAUUUCGGUUCGUAAAGCUCUGUUGUUAGGGAAGAAUGGAUAUGUAGUAACUAUACAUGUAAGAGACGGUACCUAACCAGAAAGCCACGGCUAACUACGUG
rnacentral:rRNA from 1 species